rnacentral:misc_RNA from 1 species
ACGGAUCCAGCAGUGGUCACAGUUUGGGGUACAGCAGUUCUGAGUCUGGUUCAAGAUUCUCCCUUGCACCUUGCGCACAGUGUGAAAGAGGACAUUCGGGACCUUGUAUAAUGGGUUCAUGACUAUGUUUCAGGUGUGGUCAACAAGGUCACUUUGCUAGAGAAUGCCCCGUGUUCAGCGAGCCAUAGAUGGGGUCACAGGGUUCUGUUGAAAAUGUUCCUCGUCAGUUUUAUCUUGGUGCUUCCAGCAUGGCAGGCAGU